rnacentral:rRNA from 1 species
UGGUUAAUUCGAAGCAACGCGAAGAACCUUACCAGGUCUUGACAUCCCCUCGACAACCCAAGAGAUUGGGCGUUCCCCUCGGGGGACAGGGUGACAGGUGGUGCAUGGUUGUCGUCAGCUCGUGUCGUGAGAUGUUGGGUUAAGUCCCGCAACGAGCGCAACCCUCGCCUCUAGUUGCCAGCAUUCGGUUGGGCACUCUAGAGGGACUGCCGGCGACAAGUCGGAGGAAGUGGGGAUGACGUCAAAUCAUCAUGCCCCUUAUGACCUGGGCUACACACGUGCUACAAUGGGCGGUACAAAGGGCUGCGAACCCGCGAGGGGGGAGCGAAUCCCAAAAAGCCGCUCUCAGUUCGGAUUGCAGGCUGCAACUCGCCUGCAUGAAGCCGGAAUCGCUAGUAAUCGCGGAUCAGCAUGCCGCGGUGAAUACGUUCCCGGGCCUU